CUACCGGUAAAAUUACGGAUUGGAAUCAGAUAUACUUCUUUAAAAUAUUUUUCUUAAUUUUCAAUUAAUUUGUGUAAGGGUGAUCGUAUUCAGCUGUUGAUGCUAUAUAUCACUGUUCUCAAAAGCCAUCAGUAAACGAUUCCAGUCAACACUGACGACAAAUUUGAAGAAUUAAUCUGCACAAGAUUUUAAAAAAAUAGGGG
rnacentral:lncRNA from 1 species